rnacentral:rRNA from 1 species
UACGUAGGGUGCAAGCGUUAAUCGGAAUUACUGGGCGUAAAGCGUGCGCAGGCGGCUUUGCAAGACAGAUGUGAAAUCCCCGGGCUUAACCUGGGAACUGCAUUUGUGACUGCAUGGCUGGAGUGCGGCAGAGGGGGAUGGAAUUCCGCGUGUAGCAGUGAAAUGCGUAGAUAUCAGGAGGAACACCCAUGGCGAAGGCAGCUCUCUGGUCGACAUCUGACGCUGAGACGCGAAAGCGUGGGGAGCGAACGGG